GACGAACGCUGGCGGCGUGCUUAACACAUGCAAGUCGAACGACGUGGCGAACGUGAGAGUAACGCGUAAUCAACCUGCCCUUCAGAGGGGGACAACUGUUGGAAACGACUGCUAACACCGCAUACUGAAGGAGGGGAGUGCGUCAGAUUAGGUAGGUGGAGGGGUAACGGCCCACCAAGGCGAUGAUCAGUAGCCGGUCUGAGAGGAUGAACGAGCACAUUGGGACUGAGACACGGCCCAGACUCCUACGGGCGGCAGCAGGGGGGAAUCUUCCGCAAUGGGCGAAAGUCUGACGGAGCAACGCCGCGUGAGUGAUGACGGCCUUCGGGUUGUAAAGCUCUGUUAAUCGGGACGCGGUACCGGAAUAGAAAGCCACGGCUAACUACGUGCCAGCAGCCGCGGUAAUUC
rnacentral:rRNA from 1 species